GGAUGCGAUCAUACCAGCACUAAAGCAUCGGAUCCCAUCAGAACUCCGAAGUUAAGCAUGCUUGGGCGAGAGUAGUACUAGGAUGGGUGACCUCCUGGGAAGUCCUCGUGUUGCAUUCC
rnacentral:rRNA from 1 species